GACGAACGCUGGCGGCGUGCUAAACACAUGCAAGUCGAACGGAAAGGCCCUGCUUUUGUGGGGUGCUCGAGUGGCGAACGGGUGAGUAACACGUGAGUAACCUGCCCUUGACUUUGGGAUAACUUCAGGAAACUGGGGCUAAUACCGGAUAGGAGCUCCUGCUGCAUGGUGGGGGUUGGAAAGUUUCGGCGGUUGGGGAUGGACUCGCGGCUUAUCAGCUUGUUGGUGGGGUAGUGGCUUACCAAAGCUUUGACGGGUAGCCGGCCUGAGAGGGUGACCGGCCACAUUGGGACUGAGAUACGGCCCAGACUCCUACGGGAGGCAGCAGUGGGGAAUAUUGCACAAUGGGCGGAAGCCUGAUGCAGCAACGCCGCGUGCGGGAUGACGGCCUUCGGGUUGUAAACCGCUUUCGCCUGUGACGAAGCGUGAGUGACGGUAAUGGGUAAAGAAGCACCGGCUAACUACGUG
rnacentral:rRNA from 1 species